rnacentral:pre_miRNA from 1 species
AAAGUACUCCCUCCGUCCCAAAAUUCUUGUCAUAGAUUUGUCUAGAUACGGAUGUAUCAAGUCACAUUUUAGUAUUAGAUACAUCCGUAUUUAGACAAAUCUAAGACAAGAAAUUUGGGACAGAGGGAGUAGUUG